AAAACUUUCAACAACGGAUCUCUUGGUUCUGGCAUCGAUGAAGAACGCAGCGAAAUGCGAUAAGUAGUGUGAAUUGCAGAAUUCAGUGAAUCAUCGAAUCUUUGAACGCACAUUGCGCCCUGUGGUAUUCCGCAGGGCAUGCCUGUUCGAGCGUCAUUUACCAUCC
rnacentral:rRNA from 1 species